rnacentral:tRNA from 1 species
GCCCGGAUGUUGGAAUUGGUAGACAAGCAUGGUUGAGGGCCAUGUGCUCUUAAGGGUGUGCAGGUUCAAAUCCUGUUCCGGGCAC